rnacentral:rRNA from 1 species
CAGUAGCCACGUAAUACGAAGGGUGCAAGCGUUAAUCGGAAUUACUGGGCGUAAAGCGUGCGUAGGCGGUGAGUUAAGUCUGCUGUGAAAUCCCCGGGCUCAACCUGGGAAUGGCAGUGGAUACUGGCUCGCUAGAGUGUGUCAGAGGAUGGUGGAAUUCCCGGUGUAGCGGUGAAAUGCGUAGAGAUCGGGAGGAACAUCAGUGGCGAAGGCGGCCAUCUGGGACAACACUGACGCUGAGGCACGAAAGCGUGGGGAGCAAACAGGAUUAGAUACCCCCGUAGUCCCUGUCUCUUAUACA